ensembl:lncRNA
CUUGUCUCCCACUUCUUAGCUGCGCAUCCUGCAAAUAAACUCUGACUUUGCUGCAGAUACCUGCAGUCAAGGUUUGUCUUUCUGUGGCUGUGGGCACAUGAACCCUCCUUAAAUUUUGCAUCAUUGUGUUCCUAAGUCUCCUUAGGAACCUUAGUUUUCCUAAGCCACUCUAGUCUCAGCCCUGCCAGAAGUCAUAGCAUUUUCAUUUAAAAACUUAAAUAUAUGCUUGUUCUUUGUCCUAAUUGCUAGGAAUUCUUCCUUUGGAAAUAAACAGGGUUCUAAACCAUAUGUUCAAAACGAUCAUAUAUAUAAAUAUAAGACAGGAAGGACAUGCACCCAAAUGAUAACAGAGGUUAUCUCUGAGAGAUAGGGUUAUAGAUUAUUUUUUCCAUCAUGCUUGUGGGUUUGUGUGUGUGCUUUACACAUUUUCUGCACUUCACAAGUAUGUUUUUGUGGCUAGGCAGAAAUAACGUUAUAUUUAAAUAUGACCCAUUGUGCUUAGGCUAAGCACCUUACUGCCCUCUUUCCUUCUGGACAGCACUUUCCCAUGAGGCUUUCUGAUCCUUCAUGCAAACAGCCCCACAGAGACUCACCCCACAAGCCUCUCAGACAGGCAUACACAUGUCUGAAUCUACAGAGAGGCUGAGACAGGCCUGUUGGGGUGCAGUCUUCUCUGAGGGCACUGUAGGACGGGAUAUGAUGAUUUAAAUGCCCCUCCCCAACUUCCACCUCCUCUCCCAGGGGUUGUUCAGGGAAUCCACACCCUUGUGGAAGGAGUCGGAUGGACAGGAAUUGAGUCCCUGACUUUGCCAGGUACAAGCCAUGUGACUCUAGGCAAGUUAUUUCGUCUCUCUGCUCAAUCUUCACAUCCCUAAAAUGGAGAUAACACUGGAGUUAUAGCACAGUGAUCUUCUGGAGCCAGUAAGAAGAUGUAUGUGAAGUGUGGAUGCCAGUCUGGCAUGAGGUGACUCAGCAAGAGGGAGAAAUACAGCCUUCACAGGAGGAUGCAGAAGGAUUCUUCCACACUCAGAAAUGCUUGGGAGAGGAGGAUGUGACCACGAAGAACUCUACUCAGGGGAAGGAUCAAAGCGACCACAAACCAUGUCUUAAGUCUACUGUGGUUAGAGUCUGAGGAUUACUCAGGAGUCUCAGAGGAGGGAAGGCGGGAGGAUGACAAAGACGUUAUAAGGCGUACAUACAAAAAUAUGUGUAAAAUGCCAAGAAUGGUGCCUGAUGCAUACUAAGUGCUAUGUGUUGUUAUUCCU